CCUACGGGCUGCACCAGUAGGGAAUCUUCGGCAAUGGACGAAAGUCUGACCGAGCAACGCCGCGUGAGUGAAGAAGGUUUUCGGAUCGUAAAACCCUGUUGGUAGAGAAGAACGUUGGUGAGAGUGGAAAGCUCAUCAAGUGACGGUAACUACCCAGAAAGGGACGGCUAACUACGUGCCAGCAGCCGCGGUAAUACGUAGGUCCCGAGCGUUGUCCGGAUUUAUUGGGCGUAAAGCGAGCGUGGGUGGUUUAUUAAGUCUGGUGUAAAAGGCGGUGGCUCAACCAUUGUAUGCAUUGGAAACUGGUAGACUUGAGUGCAGGAGAGGAGAGUGGAAUUCCAUGUGUAGCGGUGAAAUGCGUAGAUAUAUGGAGGAACACCGGUGGCGAAAGCGGCUCUCUGGCCUGUAACUGACACUGAGGCUCGAAAGCGUGGGGAGCAAACAGGAUUAGAUACCCGCGUAGUC
rnacentral:rRNA from 1 species